UACGUAGGUGGCGAACGUUAUCCGGAAUUACUGGGCGUAAAGGGUCCGUAGGCGGAGGACCAAGUCUGGUGUGACAACGCUCGGCUCAACUGAGCGAGACCACUGGAAACUGGUCGUCUAGAAUCUCGGCGAGGUCGGCGGAAUUCCCGGUGUAGUGGUGGAAUGCGUAGAGAUCGGGAGGAACCUCGAAAGCGAAGGCAGCCGGCUAGGCGCAGAUUGACGCUGAGGGACGAGAGCGUGGGGAGCAAACAGG
rnacentral:rRNA from 1 species